rnacentral:rRNA from 1 species
GAUGAACGCUGGCGGCGUGCCUAAUACAUGCAAGUCGAGCGAACGGACGAGAAGCUUGCUUCUCUGAUGUUAGCGGCGGACGGGUGAGUAACACGUGGAUAACCUACCUAUAAGACUGGGAUAACUUCGGGAAACCGGAGCUAAUACCGGAUAAUAUUUUGAACCGCAUGGUUCAAAAGUGAAAGACGGUCUUGCUGUCACUUAUAGAUGGAUCCGCGCUGCAUUAGCUAGUUGGUAAGGUAACGGCUUACCAAGGCAACGAUGCAUAGCCGACCUGAGAGGGUGAUCGGCCACACUGGAACUGAGACACGGUCCAGACUCCUACGGGAGGCAGCAGUAGGGAAUCUUCCGCAAUGGGCGAAAGCCUGACGGAGCAACGCCGCGUGAGUGAUGAAGGUCUUCGGAUCGUAAAACUCUGUUAUUAGGGAAGAACAUAUGUGUAAGUAACUGUGCACAUCUUGACGGUACCUAAUCAGAAAGCCACGGCUAACUACGUGCCAGCAGCCGCGGUAAUACGUAGGUGGCAAGCGUUAUCCGGAAUUAUUGGGCGUAAAGCGCGCGUAGGCGGUUUUUUAAGUCUGAUGUGAAAGCCCACGGCUCAACCGUGGAGGGUCAUUGGAAACUGGAAAACUUGAGUGCAGAAGAGGAAAGUGGAAUUCCAUGUGUAGCGGUGAAAUGCGCAGAGAUAUGGAGGAACACCAGUGGCGAAGGCGACUUUCUGGUCUGUAACUGACGCUGAUGUGCGAAAGCGUGGGGAUCAAACAGGAUUAGAUACCCUGGUAGUCCACGCCGUAAACGAUGAGUGCUAAGUGUUAGGGGGUUUCCGCCCCUUAGUGCUGCAGCUAACGCAUUAAGCACUCCGCCUGGGGAGUACGACCGCAAGGUUGAAACUCAAAGGAAUUGACGGGGACCCGCACAAGCGGUGGAGCAUGUGGUUUAAUUCGAAGCAACGCGAAGAACCUUACCAAAUCUUGACAUCCCUUGACAACUCUAGAGAUAGAGCUUUCCCCUUCGGGGGACAAAGUGACAGGUGGCGCAUGGUUGUCGUCAGCUCGUGUCGUGAGAUGUUGGGUUAAGUCCCGCAACGAGCGCAACCCUUAAGCUUAGUUGCCAUCAUUAAGUUGGGCACUCUAAGUUGACUGCCGGUGACAAACCGGAGGAAGGUGGGGAUGACGUCAAAUCAUCAUGCCCCUUAUGAUUUGGGCUACACACGUGCUACAAUGGACAAUACAAAGGGCAGCGAAACCGUGAGGUCAAGCAAAUCCCAUAAAGUUGUUCUCAGUUCGGAUUGUAGUCUGCAACUCGACUACAUGAAGCUGGAAUCGCUAGUAAUCGUAGAUCAGCAUGCUACGGUGAAUACGUUCCCGGGUCU